rnacentral:rRNA from 1 species
GUCGAACGGAAAGGCCCCGCUUGCAUGGUACUCGAGUGGCGAACGGGUGAGUAACACGUGGGUGAUCUGCCCUGCACUUCGGGAUAAGCUUGGGAAACUGGGUCUAAUACCGGAUAGGAGCCAUCUUUAGUGUGGUGGUUGGAAAGUUUUUUCGGUGUAGGAUGAGCUCGCGGCCUAUCAGCUUGUUGGUGGGGUAAUGGCCUACCAAGGCGGCGACGGGUAGCCGGCCUGAGAGGGUGUACGGCCACAUUGGGACUGAGAUACGGCCCAGACUCCUACGGGAGGCAGCAGUGGGGAAUAUUGCACAAUGGGCGCAAGCCUGAUGCAGCGACGCCGCGUGGGGGAUGAAGGCCUUCGGGUUGUAAACUCCUUUCGCUAGGGACGAAGCUUUGUUGUGACGGUACCUAGAUAAGAAGCACCGGCUAACUACGUGCCAGCAGCCGCGGUAAUACGUAGGGUGCGAGCGUUGUCCGGAAUUACUGGGCGUAAAGGGCUCGUAGGUGGUUUGUCGCGUCGUCUGUGAAAUUCUGGGGCUUAACUCCGGGCGUGCAGGCGAUACGGGCAUAACUUGAGUGCUGUAGGGGUAACUGGAAUUCCUGGUGUAGCGGUGAAAUGCGCAGAUAUCAGGAGGAACACCGAUGGCGAAGGCAGGUUACUGGGCAGUUACUGACGCUGAGGAGCGAAAGCAUG